rnacentral:rRNA from 1 species
ACCCUACGGGACGCAGCAGUGAGGAAUAUUGGUCAAUGGGCGGAAGCCUGAACCAGCCAAGUCGCGUGAGGGAAUAAGGCCCUACGGGUCGUAAACCUCUUUUGCCGGGGAGCAAGGGCGGGGACGUGUCCCGGCCCGGAGAGUACCCGGAGAAAAAGCAUCGGCUAACUCCGUGCCAGCAGCCGCGGUAAUACGGAGGAUGCGAGCGUUAUCCGGAUUUAUUGGGUUUAAAGGGUGCGUAGGCGGAGUGUCAAGUCAGCGGUAAAAUUUCGGGGCUCAACCCCGCCGUGCCGUUGAAACUGACG